GCGUAUGUGUUGGUCUCAUAGAGCGAAACCCGUAUCGAUGUGUGUAUCGCUACGGAAAAGUCACGUGACCAAUACAGGACCUGUUUCGAACUGAUUGACGGGCCAAACUGUUUAUAAGGAAGCGCAUCUGUCAACGGGAUGCAUCUGCCAAAACAAUCUUGCGUGUUUUGCGAAUACACAACUCAUCAAAAAUGAUGGAGCUUCCUAAACCAAAAAGAAAGGUUUCUGCUGUGUGGGACCACUUUGAUGUCAUUUCGGAAAAUAAGGUAUUUGUUUUGAUUUCCUUGUUUCAUCCUGUUCCUCUCAGAGUUUCCACUUGAUUUUCUGAAUAGAAAUUCAUUUCAAAGUGACCUUUAGUUUACUGUUCGUGUUAUUUUCUGCAGGUUAAAUGUCGCAAUUGCUCAACAGAGCUUGCAUAUUUGAAUAACACCUCCUCAAUGCUGAGGCAUUAUAGGGCCAAGCAUGAGAAUGAAAUCCAUGAUACACCCAUGAUAAACUCAGGUAUACAGGUAUUUUACAACUUACUGACUUUGUUUUAUUGAUAAUUUCGAUUAAUUUAUACUUUCUCAUUUUUAACCAUCAAGCUUCCAGGAAGCAGAUGCUCGAUGAGGCUGUGCUUAAUUUCAUUGUAAAGGACUGCCAGCCCCUCGCCGUUGUGGAUAAUGAAGGGUUCAGGGAGCUGGUUCAGCUCCUUGAGCCCUCAUAUGUUUUGCCAACCAGAAAGACCAUCAAACAAAUGUUGGCCAAAAAGUACGAGGAGGAACGGGAAUGAGUGAAAAUGGAAGUACAGCAAGCUGUGGCAGUGAGUAUAACCGCUGACAUGUGGACAUUUGUGAACAUGGAGGCUUACUUGGCUCUAACCUGUCACUACUUUAAUGAAAAUGUGCAGCUGUGUACAUCUGUGUUAGGUGUGCAAUACUUUCCACAAAUUCACACUACUGACAAUUUGGCCCAAGUAAAAAGGGCCAUGAUGGAGGACUGGGCCUUAACAAAUAAAGUAAAGUGUCUUGUGACCGACGCAGCACCAAACAUGAUUGCAUGCGCUAGACAGCUCCAAAUUCGGCACUCAAUUUGCAUUGCACAUAGUCUCAAUUUAUUAGUUAGAAAAUCAUGUGAUCAGAUCCCCACUCUUACAUCCAUCAGUUGGAUCCAUACGUGCUGUUCCAGGUGCCAAGACGCUGGAACAGCACGUAUGAAAUGCUGUCAAGGCUGCAUGAUGAGAAGUAGCAGUGUGGGUAUCUCUGGCCUCUCUAAAAACAGAUUUGACUCCACUUACAGCUGAUGAGUUUACCAUCAUAGGAGAAACACUACUUGUGCUUGCUCCUUUCCAUCAAGCUACAGUGGAGUUGUCUGCAGAGAGGCGAGUGUCAGGAUCAAAGGUCAUCCCAAUGAUGGAAAUGCUCUAUAAAAGGCACUUGAGUGUAAUGCUUCAACCUUGCACACUGACACAGCACGACACCUACAUGAACACCUGAAGCGUCGAGUUACAGACACUGCUUCCAACCUGGAGUCAUUAAGUGUGUUGACCCUGGCGACACUUCUAGACCCCAGAUUUAAAUCACUUGGGUUCCACAGUUCCUCCAAGUGCAACGAGGCCCUCAGCAGACUGCGGACAGAAUGUGCCUCAAUAGUUGGAGGCUCAAAUGAGCCCCAGCCGGGAACAUCUUCACAACAGCUGUCUGCCCCCACUUCAGGCAUGGUAUUGAGCAUUAUUUCUUUGUUGUUUGUAAAUCAUGUACUAAAAUGCCAAUUUGUUUUUGUUUUUUAGAUAACCUUUGGGAACAUUUUGAUCUCGAAGUGGGGAGGCAGACCAAAAGUGCCACAGCUGAUGACAUCCAUGAGGUGCAUAGAUACAUGGCAGAGGGCAAUAUUGCGAGGUCCCAGGAUCCUCUUAUAUAUUGGAAAAACCAAAAGAGGGUUUAUCCAAACCUCCUCCGCCUGUCCUUAAAAUUUUUGUGCACUCCAGCUUCAUCUGUGCCGUGUGAGCGGGUGUUUUCCACAGCUGGAGAACUAAUAUCAAAAAAGCGUAACAGACUGAUUUUCAUAACGUUGCAACAAUUUAUUUAUUUUUUAAUAAAAAUUUGUAAAAAAAAAAAAA